GUCCACGCCCUAAACGUUGGGCACUAGGUGUGGGAGGUAUUGACCCCUUCCGUGCCGCAGCUAACGCGAUAAGUGCCCCGCCUGGGGAGUACGGCCGCAAGGCUAAAAACUCAAAGGAAUUGACGGGGGCCCGCACAAGCAGCGGAGCGUGUGGUUCAAUUCGAUGAUACGCGAAGAACCUUACCAGGGCUUGACAUGCUGGUGGUACCGGACCGAAAGGAAAGGGACCCUUCGGGGAGCCAGCACAGGUGUUGCAUGGCUGUCGU
rnacentral:rRNA from 1 species